rnacentral:lncRNA from 1 species
UUAUAAUCAAAAGCAAAUAAUUAUAGCUGAAUAUAUAUUCCAUCGUCCAUAUUCUUAAUUUGAAUUACAAAAACAGAUUAUACAUUUGCCUAUCAUUUGACUAUUAAAUAUGCAAAUACAAAUUAAAUACUUGACUACUUGAAUAUUUCUUUUCACUAUAACAGCCGCAUCACAAUGAUUCGAAAGUGUACCUGAUAGUAGAAACAGAAAAAGAAAGUGAAGAUCAGUAGACCAGUAGCUAACAACAGCGACAAUCAGCACCAAGCAGUACAACAACAACCAGUAAACCCAGCUUAAACGAAACGGAAAACCCCAGCAAUACCAAAAUGAAACACAGACAGAUGCAAGGAAACAAUAAUUUCUGAUUUUCAAAUAAGAAAAGUAGCCUGACAACUCUUAGUGCAAAAGUUCAAACUCAACACUCUAACUCUUACUGUAAAGUUAUGAUUUUUACUUUCUAAACUUUUUCUUCUCUUUUCCAGUAUUCUUUUUCCAGAUCUCUUCUUUCUUUUUAGUCCAGUUUUUAUCUCUUUUUCAGUCUUUUUUUUUUCUUCUAAAAUCUGUUGUCCUCCCCCCUUUUCUGUCCAGACCCUCCCCUCUCUUUAUACAAGUAUGUCCCCUCUCCUUAAGUGCUGCCCGACCCUUCUUCUUUUCAAAAAAUCAGAAUUCCCCACUCAAAAUCUGCUCUUUUUACUUUUAAAUCCCACUAAGGUCAAUUUUUCCUUAUUAUCAGCCCCCAUUCCCCUUUGUUCUCCAUUAAUGCAUUAAUUAAUUCCCCCAUUAAUAAAGCACUAACAAUAAAGUAUAAACCUAACUGUUUCAUUCCUAAACCAACCCUGAAAACCCUUAAUAUUACUGUCUUCCUAAAUGCAACUAUUCAAAAUGUAUUAAAACUUAAUUCUGAAAUCUGUUUAACUAACAAUUAACCAAAACUGAUUUGAUUACAGCUAUAACCAAUUCAGCUAGUACUUUAAAGCAGAAAAUACAUCAAACAUAAAAGUUUCAAGGAUUCAGAAUAAUGCUCAUAAUCAAAACAGAAUCUGAAUUAAUCGGAUAACUAACAAUUUGAAAACUAUAACCAACUGAAUGCCAACUGAUUUAAACUAUACGAAUGACCUAAUCAACGAAGCUUAAUUAACCGAUUACAUAUUAUAAUUAACACUGAACAAAUCAUCAACAAAGCAAUAGGCAAUCAAUGUUAUUGACAGAAUCAUGGACUAACAGGAAGCUAAUUAAUCGACGCAACUUAUUAAUCGAUUACACAAUUUAUAAAACAUAAUAAUUAAUGCAAAUGCAAACAAAUGACAGAAUGGACCCAAUAAAAGGUCCAUUGGAGAUGAACAAAGUCAAUUGACGAAAAGAAUUUUAAAAACUAUACAACAAAUAAACAGAUACACAAAGGUUUUAAAAAAAAGGAACAAAUACAAAGGAAAGAAGAAGAAAUACCUCAUAAUACCAGAACUAUACGGACCCAGGCUCGAAACUCGGAUUCGGACAACUUUGAGAUCGAACAGACCUUAGUCGAAGUGUUCUCAACUGAGAACACUUCGAUUAAGGUCAAUUAGACCCCAACCCCUUCACAUCGUUGAGUCUGUCAACUAUAACCAUUUUAAUCCUAAUUCGAACCUCACCAACUAACAAACUACAACCUAUAAUUAGUUUACCACUGGAUUUAGACAACUAUUUAAUCAGAAUCAGACAGUAUGAAUCAAGUUGUUGCCUUUCAAGACUGUAAAAAACAAACGACAAUAUGUAUCGAAUCGACUUUGCGAGUUACAACGUAUACUAAUCAGUCGACAACAGAAGCAUGCUAAAACAGAACACACAGGUGAUUCAUGUGUUUUCGGACAAAACAUGGAAUUUAUGAAACUUAAUUAUUCGACGACGUUACUCAAAUCGACUAUACGAACUAUUACAUGUAACAACCAAUCGACAAACAACAUAGACUAAACAGGCCACCAAAUUAUUUCAAUUUUCGGGACACUUAGCAGGGAGCUUACGAAACUUAACUACUCGACGAUAUUAGUCGAAGCGAAUAGAUAUCUCAUAACAUACACUUAACACUGAAUAGAAGAGAAAUCGACCAAAUAAAGGGUCUUUGAAGAUGAAGAGGAUUGACAGAAAAAUAAUCAAAAAAUCAAUACAAAUCCACUAACACACGAAUAACACAUAAACAGAAGGAAAGAAAAGAAAAUUACCUCGGAAGCUUAAGCAUCAAAACGAUCCAGGCCUGAACCGGACUCAUUAGGAUAUGAGGGAGAUUCGAACGAAACCAACAUUGAUUAGGGUAUGAGGGAUGUCAGGGGAGU